UACAGAGGGGGCAAGCGUUAUUCGGAAUUAUUGGGCGUAAAGGGCGCGUAGGCGGCUUUGCAAGUGACGGGUGAAAUCCCUCGGCUUAACCGAGGAACUGCCUGUCAGACUGCAUGGCUUGAGACCAGGAGAGGUGAGUGGAAUUCCCAGUGUAGCGGUGAAAUGCGUAGAUAUCGGGAGGAAUACCUAUGGCGAAGGCAGCUCGCUGGGACGUUACUGACGCUGGAGAACGCGAAAGCCGUGGGGGAGCAAACAGG
rnacentral:rRNA from 1 species